rnacentral:rRNA from 1 species
AGAGCGGGAGCCCGGAGAUGGGCACUGAGACAAGGGCCCAGGCCCUACGGGGCGCAGCAGUCGCGAAAACUCCGCAAUGCGCGAAAGCGUGACGGGGCUACCCCGAGUGCCGUCCGCUGGGGAUGGCUUUUCCCCGGUGUAAUGAGCCGGGGGAAUAAGGAGAGGGCAAGUCUGGUGUCAGCCGCCGCGGUAAUACCAGCUCUCCGAGUGGUAGGGAUGUUUAUUGGGCUUAAAGCGUCCGUAGCCGGCUCGGCAAGUCUUCCGUUAAAUCCAGCGACCCAAUCGUUGGACUGCGGGAGAUACUGUCGGGCUAGGGGACGGAAGAGGCCGACGGUAUUCUCGGGGUAGGGGUGAAAUCCUAUAAUCCCAGGAGGACAACCAGUGGCGAAGGCGGUCGGCU